ACAGUCAACACACCCUAAAAGACGAGACAAGUUGAAACAGUGGGGGAUCUGUGCACCAUACAAAGAUCUUGUGUGUUGGACUACAGCAAAAAAACAUCAUCAAACUUCCCUCAGAAGAUGGCUAGUCUUUUGUUAAAGGAAUGUCUUGCAUUUCUGAAACGGAGUCAUGUUUUCAUCCAAUUUCCAUUGAGUGCUUUACUAUUUGGAUUAGAGGAGAUCGUUGAAAUCCACUUUACAUGCCCGUGCAAUGUUAAGAUGAAUUAUUAUUUAGUGCUGACAAUGUUCUUGGGACCUUUUUUGUUUAUUUUUGCUUUAAUGUUCUUGUUUUAUCGGCCUUUUAAACAUGGGUAUUUGCAUUGUGCUAAGAAAGCAAAUGGAGAAACUUUAAAUGAAAGUCAGCAGAGCUGUCCUAAAUCUCUUGGAUAUUGUCUGAUUGCACCUGUAAUGUGGGUCAUCAUCUUGUUUCUUGAUGGAGAUUACUUUGUUUGUUAUCGUACAGACUGGAAUGGACAUUAUGUUUUUGAUGAGAAGCUCAACAGGUCUUGGUGUAAACCUACUGAGGGGAUGCGAACUGAGAUAGAGCUACGCAGUUUGACUAACCAUAAUCUUCAUUAUUCUCGGUAUAUAGGUUACAUCUUGAUGAGUGUCCUCGGUAGUUUUCUGGUAACCACAGUGGGUCUUUAUGACUGCUGCAUAACUGGA